AGCGAACGCUGGCGGCAGGCUUAACACAUGCAAGUCGAGCGGGCACUUCGGUGUCAGCGGCAGACGGGUGAGUAACACGUGGGAACGUACCCUUUGGUUCGGAAUAACGCUGGGAAACUAGCGCUAAUACCGGAUACGCCCUUUUGGGGAAAGGCUUGCUGCCGAAGGAUCGGCCCGCGUCUGAUUAGCUAGUUGGUUGGGUAAUGGCCUACCAAGGCGACGAUCAGUAGCUGGUCUGAGAGGAUGAUCAGCCACACUGGGACUGAGACACGGCCCAGACUCCUACGGGAGGAAGCAGUGGGGAAUAUUGGACAAUGGGCGCAAGCCUGAUCCAGCCAUGCCGCGUGAGUGAUGAAGGCCUUAGGGUUGUAAAGCUCUUUUGUCCGGGACGAUAAUGACGGUACCGGAAGAAUAAGCCCCGGCUAACUUCGUG
rnacentral:rRNA from 1 species